GGCAGUGAUGAAAUUCCACUUUGGUCUGUGUUUUUGAUACCAUGUGAAAUGAGUGGAAGUUCUGACGUC